rnacentral:rRNA from 1 species
UGGGGAAUAUUGGGCAAUGGGCGCAAGCCUGACCCAGCCAUGCCGCGUGAGUGACGACGGCCUUAGGGUUGUAAAGCUCUUUUGGCGGGGACGAUAAUGACGGUACCCGCAGAAUAAGCCCCGGCUAACUUCGUGCCAGCAGCCGCGGUAAUACGAAGGGGGCUAGCGUUGUUCGGAAUCACUGGGCGUAAAGCGCACGUAGGCGGACUUUCAAGUCAGGGGUGAAAUCCCGGGGCUCAACCUCGGAACUGCCUCUGAUACUGUUGGUCUCGAGUCCGAUAGAGGUGGGUGGAACGACGGGUGGAGCGGUGAAAUGCGUAGAUAUCCGUUGGAACGCCGGAGGCGAAAGCGGGUCACUGGGCGUAUCCUGACGCUGAGACGCGAAAGCGUGGGUAGCAAACAGGAUUAGAUACCCAAGUAGUCCCUGAGCGGGCUGGCAAGGCGCAU